GCCUUCGUAGUGUAAUGGUCAGCACGCUCGGCGCGUAUUCGAGACGUCCGCGGUUCGAAUCCCGGCGAGGGAA
rnacentral:tRNA from 1 species